rnacentral:rRNA from 1 species
GACGAACGCUGGCGGCGUGCUUAACACAUGCAAGUCGAACGGAAAGGCCCUGCUUGCAGGGUACUCGAGUGGCGAACGGGUGAGUAACACGUGGGUGAUCUGCCCUGCACUUCGGGAUAAGCUUGGGAAACUGGGUCUAAUACCGGAUAGGACCGCACUUUAGUGUGUGUGGUGGAAAGUUUUUUCGGUGUAGGAUGAGCUCGCGGCCUAUCAGCUUGUUGGUGGGGUAAUGGCCUACCAAGGCGGCGACGGGUAGCCGGCCUGAGAGGGUGUACGGCCACAUUGGGACUGAGAUACGGCCCAGACUCCUACGGGAGGCAGCAGUGGGGAAUAUUGCACAAUGGGCGCAAGCCUGAUGCAGCGACGCCGCGUGGGGGAGGAAGGCCUUCGGGUUGUAAACUCCUUUCGCUAGGGACGAAGCUUUUUGUGACGGUACCUAGAGAAGAAGCACCGGCUAACUACGUG